rnacentral:rRNA from 1 species
UUUCUUGUCACCCCCGCCUAUAUAUCUCCGUCGCCAGCUUACCCUGUGAAGGCCUCAUAGUAAGUUUAACCGGUGAGUACCACCCCUAACGUCAGGUCGAGAUGUAGCGCAUGGGAAGGGAAGAAAUGGGCUACAUUCCCUAAACAUAGAGAAUACGAAUGAUAAGUUGAAAUGCCUAUCUGAAGGAGGAUUUAGUAGUAAGUAGAAAAUAGAGCGUUCUGCUGAAACCGGCCCUGAAGCGCGCACACACCGCCCGUCACUCUCCCCGAGCUAACCUGUCAACGUAAUUAAAACACUAACACUGCACGAGGGGAGGCAAGUCGUAACAUGGUAAGUGUACCGGAAGGUGCACUUGGCCAAAC